GACAGAGGGUGCAAACGUUGUUCGGAAUUACUGGGCGUAAAGCGCGUGUAGGCUGCUUGGAAAGUCGGAUGUGAAAGCCCUGGGCUCAACCCAGGAAGUGCAUUCGAAACUUCUGAGCUUGAGUUUCGGAGAGGAAAGCGGAAUUCUCGGUGUAGAGGUGAAAUUCGUAGAUAUCGAGAGGAACACCGGUGGCGAAGGCGGCUUUCUGGACGAAAACUGACGCUGAGACGCGAAAGCGUGGGGAGCAAACAGG
rnacentral:rRNA from 1 species